ensembl:lncRNA
CUGGCUCCUCCCCUUCUCUGGGAAGUAACUCAGAUAUGUAACACUAAGCCACUGCUAAAUGGAUACUUUGUGUGUUAUAGAGCUGUGUGUGUGUGUGUGUGUGUGUGUGUGUGUGUGUGUGUGUGUGUGUGUGUGUGUGUGUGUGUGUGUGUGUGUGUGUGUGUGUGUGUGUGUGUGUGUGUGUGUUCCUCCUCAGUUCUCUGUAGUCUAAUGUGGUGGUAAACAGCCUCUGGUCUCUCUAGGCUAUAAUAGAAACCAUUCUUCAGUCUGACCGCCUUGGCUCACUAAAAAGAACACUAAAUACCCACCAAACACAGCAAACACUGGAGACAAACACACCAAACAUAAGGACAAAACACUAGAACCACACAAACCAAACGCUAGAACCAAACACACCAUACACUAGAACCAUAGACUAGAACCAAACACAACGAACACUAGUAGAACCAAACACACCAAACACUAGAGCCAAACACACCAAACAUAAGGACAAAACACUAGAACCACACAAACCAAACGCUAGAACCAAACACACCAUACACUAGACCCAGAGACUAGAACCAAACACACAGAACACUAGUAGAACCAAACACACCAAACACUAGAGUCAAACACACCAAACAUAAGAACAAAACACUAGAACCACACACACCAAACACUAGAACCAAACACACCAAAGACUAGAACCAUAGACUAGAACCAAACACACAGAACACUAGUAGAACCUAACGCACCAAAGACUAGAACCAAACACACCAAACAUAAGAACAAAACACUAGAACCACACAAACCAAACGCUAGAACCAAACACACUAACACUAGAACCAAACACACCAUACACUAGAACCAUAGACUAGAACCACACAGAACACUAGAACCAAACACACCAUGCAACACACCAUGCACCAGAACCAUAGACUAGAACCAAACACACAGAACACUAGAACCAAACACACCAUACACCAGAACCAUAGACUAGAACCAAACACACAGAACACUAGAACCAUGGACUAGAACCAAACACACAGAACACUAGUAGAACCAAACGCACCAAAGACUAGAACCAAACACACAGAACACUAGAACCAAACACACCAUACACUAGAACCAUAGACUAGAACCACACAUAACACUAGAACCAAACACACCAUACACCAGAACCAUAGACUAGAACUAAACACACAGAAAACUAGAACCAUGGACUAGAACCAAACACACCAUACACCAGAACCAUAGACUAGAACCAAACACACAGAACACUGGAACCAUGACUAGAACCAAACACACCAUACACCAGAACCAUAGACUAGAACCAAACACACAGAACACUAGAACCAAACACACCAAAGACUGGAACCAAACACAACAAAUACUAGAACCAAACACACUAAACAUAAGAACCACACAAACUGAACACUAGAACCAAGCACACCAAGACCAUUGGUAGAUAAUGAUCCAAAUAACUUUUAUAGGCUCUACAUGUUAAUUGGUUGUAUAUGUUGCAUAUAUGUUUCAAUCCCUUCCGAUUCAUGUCCCC